rnacentral:rRNA from 1 species
GUGAACGCUGGCGGUAGGCCUAACACAUGCAAGUCGAACGGCAGCACAGUAAGAGCUUGCUCUUACGGGUGGCGAGUGGCGGACGGGUGAGGAAUACAUCGGAAUCUACUUUUUCGUGGGGGAUAACGUAGGGAAACUUACGCUAAUACCGCAUACGACCUACGGGUGAAAGCAGGGGAUCUUCGGACCUUGCGCGAUUGAAUGAGCCGAUGUCGGAUUAGCUAGUUGGCGGGGUAAAGGCCCACCAAGGCGACGAUCCGUAGCUGGUCUGAGAGGAUGAUCAGCCACACUGGAACUGAGACACGGUCCAGACUCCUACGGGAGGCAGCAGUGGGGAAUAUUGGACAAUGGGCGCAAGCCUGAUCCAGCCAUACCGCGUGGGUGAAGAAGGCCUUCGGGUUGUAAAGCCCUUUUGUUGGGAAAGAAAAGCAGCAGGUUAAUACCCCGCUGUUCUGACGGUACCCAAAGAAUGGGCACCGGCUAACUUCGUG